rnacentral:rRNA from 1 species
UGAGGAAUAUUGGUCAAUGGACGCAAGUCUGAACCAGCCAUGCCGCGUGCAGGAAGACGGCUCUAUGAGUUGUAAACUGCUUUUGUAUUAGGGUAAACUCAGGUACGUGUACCUGACUGAAAGUAUAAUACGAAUAAGGAUCGGCUAACUCCGUGCCAGCAGCCGCGGUAAUACGGAGGAUCCAAGCGUUAUCCGGAUUUAUUGGGUUUAAAGGGUGCGUAGGCGGUUUGAUAAGUUAGAGGUGAAAUACCGGGGCUUAACUCCGGAACUGCCUCUAAUACUGUUGAACUAGAGAGUAGUUGCGGUAGGCGGAAUGUAUGGUGUAGCGGUGAAAUGCUUAGAGAUCAUACAGAACACCGAUUGCGAAGGCAGCUUACCAAACUAUAUCUGACGUUGAGGCACGAAAGCGUGGGUAUCGAACAGG